UUACAUUUGAGUGCAGGUUUCUAUAGCUUGCGGGUUAGGGAAAACUAAGGGUCAAGGUGAUGAUCCAUUUCGCAAACGGAAGCCUGGAAUGUGGAGAAUAAUGGAGCAAAAUUUCAACUCUGGCAUUUCAAUUGAUAUAGUUCAAUCUUUUUAUGUUGGUGAUGCAGUUGGGAGAGUCAAUUAAUGAUCGUAGUGAUGUGGAUAUUAAAUUUGCUCAGGCUGUUGGCUUGAAAUUUCAUCUUCCUGAGGAAUAUUUUGGCGCUUAAAGACUUCCUGACCAUUAACCUCUGGUACACAUUCACAUCACUGAUUCCUUUUGGAAUUCAAAUUGUAUAUUUGUAGCUAGUGGGAGGAACCAUGCAUGUAGUAGAUUGUGAUAGAUUGGUUAGGUUAUGUAUGAGGAAGUCUGGCAUUAUCUGAAGCUUGCAGAAGUCAAUUAAUCAUUACCCUCUGAAAUCAGUGGGCAGAUUGAAUAUUUUGGCGGAAUGGACAGAGUAGAUGCAUGCAGUGUAUGCUCUCUUGCUUUUUUGCCCUAAAUCAACAUGUUGUGUUCAUCAGGUAGGACCUGAAAUGUACUGGAUAUUGAUUGGGGUAUUAAAAACAUCAAAUCCAAGCAGAGAAUUGUUUGA